rnacentral:rRNA from 1 species
CCUACGGGUGGCAGCAGUGAGGAAUAGUGGUCAAUGGACGAGAGUCUGAACCAGCCAAGUAGCGUGAAGGAUGACUGCCCUAUGGGUUGUAAACUUCGUUUAUAGGGGAAUAAAAUGGUACACGUGUGGGAUUUUGUAUGUACCAUAUGAAUAAGGAUCGGCUAACUCCGUGCCAGCAGCCGCGGUAAUACGGAGGAUCCGAGCGUUAUCCGGAUUUAGUGGGUUUAAAGGGAGCGUAGGGGGAUUGUUAAGGCAGUUGUGAAAGUUUGCGGCUCAACCGUAAAAUUGCAGUUGAAACUGGCAGUCUUGAUUACAGUAGAGGUGGGCGGACUUCGUGUUGUAGCGG